rnacentral:rRNA from 1 species
AUGUCAACUUGUCUUAACCACACAGUACAGUAUAUAUCAAUAUAUGCAAGGUUAAAUGAGAGCAGCAACAGGUGUCACUUUGCUUACAAUGUUCCUGCAACCCUCGUGCUGAUAUGCGUCAUGUUGCCUGGGAAGAGCUUUGCUAGCCCGAAAUCCGAUAUUUUGGGGCUCAGGUCCUUGUCAAGCAGAAUGUUACUCGCCUUGAUGUCACGGUGGACGAUAUGCGGCCGGAUUUCUUCAUGCAGAUAUGUGAGACCGUCGGCGACACCAAUGCAGAUCUUCGCCCUUGUGCUCCAGUCAAACCGGAUACUACUGUGGGCAUUGCCUGAAGAACAUCAUGACAAACCAGGGGGUUCUGAGAAUGAAUUUACCAGCGAUUUAAAGUUCUGA